rnacentral:rRNA from 1 species
GACAGAGCUGGCGUAUGCUGGCCUGCAUUCAGCCUUGGAGCAUCUGGCGUUGUGGUGUUGCUCUCCAGAUUGGGACAGCAUUGCUUCUGCCGGGUGAACCGUGGUGCAUUUGCAGGUGGAGUGCGCCGAGGCGCCUGAGUCAGCGGCAUGAGCUUGGUUCUGAGGCCAGCCUUGCAAAAGGUCUGGUACCCGUGCUGGGGGAGUGCUGUUUGACUUGGGUGGUGGUAUGGGGCAAUGGUUUCGGGCUCGUGUGGGUGCCGAGCUGGCAGUCGGUGGCGGUCGCAUGCGACACGUGCCAGCGGUCAGUUCGGUCCUGCUCGAGCUCUCACAGCCCGUCCUCGGUGUAAAAGGCAGUCAUCUGUCCGACCCGUCUUGAAACACGGACCAAGGAGUUUAGCGUGUGCGCGAGUCAUUGGGUGUUGAAAACCCAAAGGCGCAAUGAAAGUGAAGGUGUCCCUUGUGGAACUGAUGUGUGAUCCUGGUCACCUCGGUGCAUCCGGGCGCAACAUAGUCCCGUCCUGACCGCUUGCGGUGGGGCGGAGACAGAGCGUACGCGCUGAGACCCGAAAGAUGGUGAACUAUUCCUGAGCAGGAUGAAGCCAGAGGAAACUCUGGUGGAAGUCCGAAGCG